rnacentral:rRNA from 1 species
CGGAGGAAGAGAAACUAACCAGGAUUCCCCUAGUAACUGCGAGUGAAGCGGGAUGAGCUCAAAUUUMAAAUCUGGCGGUCGUUGUGGCCGUCCGAGUUGUAGUCUGGAGAAGUGUUAUCCGCGUCGGACCGUGUACAAGUCUCCUGGAAUGGAGCGUCAUAGAGGGUGAGAAUCCCGUCCAUGACACGGACGCCCGAUGCUUUGUGAGGCACUCUCGAAGAGUCGAGUUGUUUGGGAAUGCAGCUCAAAAUGGGUGGUAAAUUCCAUCUAAAGCUAAAUAUUGGCGAGAGACCGAUAGCGAACAAGUACCGUGAGGGAAAGAUGAAAAGCACUUUGGAAAGAGAGUUAAAUAGUACGUGAAAUUGUUGAAAGGGAAACGCUUGAAGUCAGUCGCGUCCCGUGGAACUCAGCCUGGCUUCGGCCUGGUGUAUUUUCUAUGCGGACGGGUCAACAUCAGUUUCGGCCGGYGGAAAAAGGCAGAGGGAAUGUAGCGCCGCUUCGGUGGCGUGUUAUAGCCCUCUGUCAAAUACGCUGGCGGGGACUGAGGACYGCAGCACGCCCUUGUGGCCGGGGGUUCGCCCCACGUUCGUGCUUAGGAUGUUGGCAUAAUGGCUUUAAGCGACCCGU